rnacentral:rRNA from 1 species
ACGCUCGACACCUACGGGAGGCNGCAGUGGGGAAUAUUGCACAAUGGGGGAAACCCUGAUGCAGCGACGCCGCGUGAGCGAAGAAGUAUUUCGGUAUGUAAAGCUCUAUCAGCAGGGAAGAAACUGACGGUACCUGACUAAGAAGCACCGGCUAAAUACGUGCCAACAGCCGCGGUAAUCUGAGCGGGCUGGCAAGGC